rnacentral:tRNA from 1 species
GGCCUUCUAGCUCAGUUGGUUAGAGCGUGGUGCUAAUAACGCCAAGGUCAUCUGUUCGAUCCUGAUGAGGGCCA